CCAGACUCCUACGGGAGGCAGCAGUGAGGAAUAUUGGUCAAUGGGCUUACGCCUGAACCAGCCAAGUCGCGUGAGGGAUUAAGGCCCUAUGGGUCGUAAACCUCUUUUGUCAGGGAGCAAUGGCGUCCACGUGUGGGCGUAUGGAGAGUACCUGAAGAAAAAGCAUCGGCUAACUCCGUGCCAGCAGCCGCGGUAAUACGGAGGAUGCGAGCGUUAUCCGGAUUUAUUGGGUUUAAAGGGUGCGUAGGCGGGACCUUAAGUCAGCGGUAAAAUUGCGGUGCUCAACGCCGUAGAGCCGUUGAAACUGGGGUUCUUGAGUGAGCGAGAAGUAUGCGGAAUGCGUGGUGUAGCGGUGAAAUGCUUAGAUAUUGCGCAGAACUCCGAUUGCGAAGGCAGCAUACCGGCGGCGAUCUGACGCUGAGGCACGAAAGCGUGGGUAUCGAACAGGAUUAGAUACCCCAGUA
rnacentral:rRNA from 1 species